CAUAUCAAUAAGCGGAGGAAAAGAAACCAACAGGGAUUGCCUCAGUAACGGCGAGUGAAGCGGCAACAGCUCAAAUUUGAAAUCUGGCCCCCAGGGUCCGAGUUGUAAUUUGUAGAGGAUGCUUUUGGUGAGGUGCCUUCCGAGUUCCCUGGAACGGGACGCCAUAGAGGGUGAGAGCCCCGUCUGGUCGGACACCGAGCCUCUGUAAAGCUCCUUCGACGAGUCGAGUAGUUUGGGAAUGCUGCUCUAAAUGGGAGGUAUAUGUCUUCUAAAGCUAAAUAUUGGCCAGAGACCGAUAGCGCACAAGUAGAGUGAUCGAAAGAUGAAAAGCACUUUGAAAAGAGGGUUAAAAAGUACGUGAAAUUGUUGAAAGGGAAGCGCUCAUGACCAGACUUGGGCUUGGCGAAUCAUCCAGCGUUCUCGCUGGUGCACUUCGCCUCGUUCAGGCCAGCAUCAGUUUGUCCCGGGGGAUAAAAGCUUCGGGAACGUGGCUGCUUCGGCAGUGUUAUAGCCCGCUGCACAAUACCCUGGGGUGGACUGAGGUUCGCGCUCCGCAAGGAUGCUGGCGUAAUGGUCAUCAGCGACCCGUCUUGAAACACGGACCAAGGAGUCGUCUUCGUAUGCGAGUGUUCGGGUGUCAAACCCCUACGCGUAAUGAAAGUGAACGCAGGUGAGAGCUUCGGCGCAUCAUCGACCGAUCCUGAUGUUCUCGGAUGGAUUUGAGUAAGAGCAUACGGGGCCGGACCCGAAAGAAGGUGAACUAUGCCUGUAUAGGGUGAAGCCAGAGGAAACUCUGGUGGAGGCUCGCAGCGGUUCUGACGUGCAAAUCGAUCGUCAAAUAUGGGCAUGGGGGCGAAAGACUAAUCGA
rnacentral:rRNA from 1 species